rnacentral:rRNA from 1 species
GCUAGUAAUCGCGGAUCAGCAUGCCGCGGUGAAUACGUUCCCGGGCCUUGUACACACCGCCCGUCACACCAUGGGAGUGGAUUGUACCAGAAGCAGCUAGCCUAACCUUCGGGAGGGCGGUUACCACGGUAUGGUUCAUGACUGGGGUGAAGUCGUAACAAGGUAGCCGUAGGGGAACCUGCGGCUGGAUCACCUCCUUU